rnacentral:lncRNA from 1 species
UUAAAUAUUUUGCCCACUUUCUUAGUGUGUUUGGUUUGUUCAAGAACCAGAGUGCAGAAGAACAAUAAUUUAAUUGACUGUACAAGAUCGUGCAAAAAACAAGUUGAGAAAUACAGCUUUCUACCCCUUCCCAUGAUGACAAACUGGCCCUACUGCCAAGUAUCCCUUCCACAGGGAUCCACAGUUCCACAUCCGAACUUAACUCCAUGGGGAUGAAAGGAUCUGCACCAUGUUUGGACUGAUACAGCCACGUCUAAGCUUUCAAAAAUAGCCAUCGUAAUUCGAUGUAUUACAUAUAACCCCUCAUCUUUGUUAUUUGCAAAGGAAAGGAAAGAGAGUCUGCCAAAUCCCGGAGCAAAACCGUAUCUAAGAGAACGAAGUUGUGAACUGGAAAGCACAAACAUUUGGCGGGGCUCCUGAGCCACAAGAGCUGUUUGUUACCCUGUGCUGAGCACCGACACUUGCGGCCCGGGGCAGCAGGGGAAGAGCAGCUCCCAUUGGGGCUCAGCCAGAGCCGGCCCUGCCUUGGUGUGCCGGGCAGGGAGAGCACGGGAGAGGCAGCGAGCACCGCACGCACAGACCCCGUCCUGCCCUGCCCUGCCCUGCCCUGCCCUGCCCCUCCAACCCGGCACACGAGGCACGGCCGAGGGGAUUUCGGACUUUCUCGGGAGGCACAGCCACUUCCACCAGAGCAAUCACCUUUCCACGCUCGAGGGACAAAUCCCUUUGAAGGUAGCCCAAGUAAGAAGGCUGGGACCGAAAAAGAUGCGCUACGCAGUAAUUUCAUGCCGGCAAUCAAGCAAAUCCGGCAACUUUAAAUCAACUCCGCGGACUUUCCGCGUGCUUUGAAAAGAGAGAAAGCAGAAAAGCGUGUCACAAAAGGGAAGGAGGCCUACCGCACAUGAGCUCCCGCUCUGGAAAUAAACUGCAGUUUACGCUAAACUUUGCCCAGCCGUUCCCGGCUGUCUGAGGCCGAUCCUAACGACAAGACAGCAACGCUCGGUUAGAAACCGGCGAACUCGCCAGCCCGGACACGAGCAAGGUGAUGGCAGAGGUGCCGAGGGCACCAGGCUGGAGGCACCUCAGCCACCCCUGGGUGUGAGGGAGGGAGAGAGGGAGAGAGAACCGGGCGGCUGCAGCCGCUGCAGCCUCUCAGGAAACCCUGGCUGGUGGCCCUCCCGGGGCGAGCGGGAGCCCGUCCCACCCCAUCCCGUCCCGUCCCGUCCCCCCCCCCCCCCCCCCCCCCCCCCCCCCCCCCCCCCCCCCCCC